UACGAAGGGGGCGAGCGUUGUUCGGAAUUACUGGGCGUAAAGCGUGCGUAGGCGGUUUGUUAAGUCUGCUGUGAAAGCCCCGGGCUCAACCUGGGAAUGGCAGUGGAUACUGGCAAACUCGAGUGUGGUAGAGGAAGGUGGAAUUCCCGGUGUAGCGGUGAAAUGCGUAGAGAUCGGGAGGAACAUCAGUGGCGAAGGCGGCCUUCUGGACCAACACUGACGCUCAGGCACGAAAGCGUGGGGAGCAAAC
rnacentral:rRNA from 1 species